AGAGUUUGAUCCUGGCUCAGGAUGAACGCUAGCGGCAGGCUUAAUACAUGCAAGUCGUGGGGCAGCGCGGGUAGCAAUACCUGGCGGCGACCGGCAAACGGGUGAGGAACAUGUACGCAACCUUCCUUUAACUGGAGGAUAGCCCAUCGAAAGAUGGAUUAAUACUCCGUAACAUAUUGAUAAGGCAUCUUAUUAAUAUUAUAGCUCCGGCGGUUAAAGAUGGGCGUGCACCUGAUUAGAUAGUUGGCGGGGUAACGGCCCACCAAUCUGCGAUCAGUAACUGGUGUGAGAGCACGACCAGUCACACGGGCACUGAGACACGGGUCCGACUCCUACGGGAGGCAGCAGUGGGGAAUAUUGGACAAUGGGCGCAAGCCAGAUCCAGCAAUGCCGCGUGUGUGAAGAAGGCCUUCGGGUUGUAAAGCACUUUUAUCGGGAGCGAAAUACCACGGGUUAAUAACCUAUGGGGCUGACGGUACCCGAGGAAUAAGCACCGGCUAACUUCGUGCCAGCAGCCGCGGUAAACGAAGGGUGCAAGCGUUAAUCGGAAUUACUGGGCGUAAAGGGUGCGUAGGCGGUUUGUUAAGUCUGUUGUGAAAUCCCCGGGCUCAACCUGGGAAUGGCAAUGGAUACUGGCAAGCUAGAGUGUGUCAGAGGAUGGUGGAAUUCCCGGUGUAGCGGUGAAAUGCGUAGAGAUCGGGAGGAACAUCAGUGGCGAAGGCGGCCAUCUGGGACAACACUGACGCUGAAGCACGAAAGCGUGGGGAGCAAACAGGAUUAGAACCCUGGUAGUCCACGCCCUAAACGAUGCGAACUGGAUGUUGGUCUCAACUCGGAGAUCAGUGUCGAAGCUAACGCGUUAAGUUCGCCGCCUGGGGAGUACGGUCGCAAGACUGAAACUCAAAGGAAUUGACGGGGGCCCGCACAAGCGGUGGAGUAUGUGGUUUAAUUCGAUGCAACGCGAAGAACCUUACCUGGCCUUGACAUGUCUGGAAUCCUGUAGAGAUACGGGAGUGCCUUCGGGAAUCAGAACACAGGUGUGCAUGGCUGUCGUCAGCUCGUGUCGUGAGAUGUUGGGUUAAGUCCCGCAACGAGCGCAACCCUUGUCCUUAGUUGCCAGCGAGUAAUGUCGGGAACUCUAAGGAGACUGCCGGUGACAAACCGGAGGAAGGUGGGGAUGACGUCAAGUCCUCAUGGCCCUUACGGCCAGGGCUACACACGUACUACAAUGGUCGGUACAGAGGGUUGCGAAGCCGCGAGGUGGAGCCAAUCCCAGAAAGCCGAUCCCAGUCCGGAUCAAGUCUGCAACUCGACUUCGUGAAGUCGGAAUCGCUAGUAAUCGCGGAUCAGCUAUGCCGCGGUGAAUACGUUCCCGGGCCUUGUACACACCGCCCGUCACACCAUGGGAGUGGGUUGCUCCAGAAGGCGUUAGUCUAACCGCAAGGAGGACGACGCCCACGGAGUGGUUCAUGACUGGGGUGAAGUCGUAACAAGGUAACC
rnacentral:rRNA from 1 species